GAAAUGCGAUAAGUAGUGUGAAUUGCAGAAUUCAGUGAAUCAUCGAAUCUUUGAACGCACAUUCCGCCCUUUGGUAUUCCUUAGGGCAUGCCUGUUCGAGCGUCAUCUAAACCUUCAAGCCCUGCUUGGUGUUGGGUGCCUGUCCCGCCUCCGCGCGCGGACUCACCUCAAAUCCAUUGGCGGCCCCCGCGUCGGCCACGAGCGCAGCAGAAACGCGAACUCGUGAGCCCGUCCGGGCGGCUCCCAGAAGCUACACCCACCCAGUUUGACCUCGGAUCAGGUAGGGAUACCCGCUGAACUUAAGC
rnacentral:misc_RNA from 1 species